AUAUCUUUCUCGGCCUUUUGGCUAAGAUCAAGAGUAGUAUGUGUUUAUUAGCUUAAUAUCUGAUAUGUAGGCUAAUAGCUCAUACGAUAUUAAAUUUAUUUUUGAGGGUGAGAACCUUUCAUAGUAGAUCAAGCUUAAAUUCGAGCUUUAUUCGAGCUCAAAUUUGAGCUUGAGUCUCGAGCUUCAAUC